AACACAGUCCCCCAGACAGAUUUGGAAUACAAGCUGCAAGCUGGCUGUAUCCCUUGGUGAAUCUGCUGCUGUCCUGCUCUUUCCCUUUGCUCACAGUCAAUGAGCCUUGGCACACAGGGACAAGCUGUGGUCUCUGACUGCUUUGUUCUCUUUGACUUGAGGUGGACGUGUUGAUAUCUCACCUGGCAGCCUGCGAAGGCUUCCAGCAAAUGCCGGCUGAUGAAGAGCCCCAAGGUCGGCGGCAGGCACAGGUACUGUCCCAAGCACAAGUGCUGCAAACUGAGCACCUUCUGAAGAUGGUGCAGGAAAAGAGGACUGAGGGGGAGGAGCUCCAACAUUAGAACAAGGAGCUGCAAAUGUGUCUGCAGCCCUUGGAGGGGGAAAGGGAUCCUUGGGAGGAAGUGCAAUGGUCAUUGUUGCAGUCAUCCUUCAGAAAAUCCAGGAAAAUGGAAUAUGAAACUGGCCAUCAACUUGAUUAAAACCAACCUUGGGUUUUGACCAUUUGGUUCCAGAAGUGGGCAUCCAAAAAAUCCAGUUGAUGAGCUUUGCAUGUGGCUAACAGCAACUUCCUAAGGGCUUGCAUUUGAAAAGGGAACUCGGGGUAAUCUCUGCCAGCCAGCUUUCUGACACAAACUCCUUUCUUCUCGCAGAUCUACACAGGCUCUUCCAUUCAAUCUGCUGCAGCAGCAGCAGCAGCAGCAUCUAAAGGAGCCUUUGUUCCCCAAGCUGAGCAGUGGAUCCUGGGCAGUUUGUCCAUUUCCAGCAGUGACACAUCUGCUGCUCAGCUCCAGGAGAGCCAGGGAGACUUCGUGGAGCAACUGAGGAGAAUGGUGAACAAGGAAAAUCCCAUCACAAAAUACAUCGAACUGGAAAGUCUUGGCAGCGGGGGUUUUGGAGAGGUUUCCAGAGCACUUGACAUUGCAACAGGAGGAGAGGUGGCCAUCAAGAAAAUAAAUGUGCAAGGAGUGAGUAGGAAGAUACUAACCAUGAAUGAAAUCAGGAUCAUGGAGAGUAAUAGGAGUCCCAGGAUCGUGAAUUACUUAGCCAGGUGAGUGGUCACGGUCCUAUCCCUUGAAUGUUUCUUUACAUACUACAAGCAUGAGAGCUUAAAAACCCACUUUGGUCUGUGGCAGGAAAUAGAGCUGUUAAUGAUUAUUUCUCUACUUAUCUCCAAUGGAUGGGAAGAGACUGCAUUUUGUCUGCAUGAAUCCACCCUGGCAAAUGCAGACUGAAAAUUGUUCAAAAACCUGCAUCAGCCCUAUCUUAAGAAUUCAAUACCUUCUAACUUCAUUGCCUCCACAGUUCUUUGGGACUCAGUUUUUCAAGUUUCUUAAAUGCUGAUGAACCAUCCAAGAGAGGAUUG
rnacentral:lncRNA from 1 species